CUGCAACCUACAAAAACAAAACCA
rnacentral:piRNA from 1 species